rnacentral:rRNA from 1 species
GACGAACGCUGGCGGCGUGCUUAACACAUGCAAGUCGAACGGAAAGGCCCUGCUUUUGUGGGGUGCUCGAGUGGCGAACGGGUGAGUAACACGUGAGUAACCUGCCCUUGACUUUGGGAUAACUUCAGGAAACUGGGGCUAAUACCGGAUAGGAGCUCCUGCUGCAUGGUGGGGGUUGGAAAGUUUCGGCGGUUGGGGCUGGUCUCGCGGCUUAUCAGCUUGAUGGUGGGGUAGUGGCUUACCAAGGCUUUGACGGGUAGCCGGCCUGAGAGGGUGACCGGCCACAAUGGGACUGAGAUACGGCCCAGACUCCUACGGGAGGCAGCAGGGGGGAAUAUUGCACAAUGGGCGGAAGCCUGAUGCAGCAGCGCCGCGUGCGGGAUGACGGCCUUCGGGUUGUAAACCGCUUUCGCCUGUGACGAAGCGUGAGUGACGGUAAUGGGUAAAGAAGCACCGGCUAACUACGUG